AUAGUAUCCUAGAAGAUAAUUUUUGCAACGGAAAAGUCCAAUUAACUAAUACAUGUGAGAUGCGUUGAUGAUUCUAAGUGGACAAGGGAGCAUAACCAAUUAAAGCCUAGCAACAAAAAAAACUUCCGUCGGAAGCUCCGCCUUGUUCGUCCAAAUUGUCACCGCCUUCAAUGCCAGAGCUGAUCUUCUUUUAGAUCCAUAUUUCACCACACAAAUCAGCUAGAGUCUUCGAAAAUCCACUCGAAAGAUCUUUCUACAGAUUUAACCGCUGUUAAACAAAUUGAAAACUGUCGCAUAUCUUGAUUAAUAGAUGAAGUUUUUCAGAUCUCUAAUAAUCUCAACUCAAAACUCAAAUAUAUAAGCUCCGCUUAUGACCUAAAUUUCAUAGAGAAAGGUCAACUUCGUGUAAAAACGAAGAAAUUUUAGCGAAUAUAUUACUCUAAUCCUUUGAGAAAAGUCAAACCGACGGAUUGAAUAAUUGAUAACUAGCGGGAUUUUUAAUGAUGAUCUUGUAGAAAGAUGAGGAAACAAAAAUAAAAUAGUGAAAUACAAUCCAAAUUUAGCCAAAAAGGAAACUAGCAAUCCGGAAAACUAAAAAUCCGACUAAAUAAAAGAGAAACCAAGUCGGAAGAUAUAUUACAAAAAAAUCCAGUUAACAUUGGCAUAAGAUUCCGGCUAACUGGAAACUUUUCUCAAUCUAUGAAAGAUUUUGAGAGAGAUAAGAGAGAG
rnacentral:lncRNA from 1 species